rnacentral:lncRNA from 1 species
UCUCUUUCAAAAACUUUGAAUAAGAUGGUAUCUGCUGGAUUGCCUCCGAGAAUGGAAUGAUUAUUUCUAAUUUCUUGAAAAUUUCCAUGAAAUGAUCAAAUUGUCUCUGUUUCUCUUUUCUGGAAUAUAUUUUUGGAUAUGGUAGUGGUUUUUCAUACUCCUUCUCUUUGAACUUCUCAGCUUCUUCUUUUUGUUUCUCGUUCCACCUAUCUUUUUCUUCAACUUCCUCCUUUUGAUCCUUUUCUUCUUCUAUACUUAAUUCUUUAUCAACCUCUCGUUCUUUAACAAUCUUUCCACUUCUAGUCACAAUUUCGCAAGCUUCUUCCUCUCUACCUUUCUCCACACAGUCAACAACACAAACACUUUUCUACAUAAUUCUCUAGAAAGUUUCUUCGGCUUCUGUACUUCUCUGAAUAGGGUUGAAGUGAAGCAGUUGUG